CAAGCAGCUCAUAAAUGGUUCUAAGAACCUUUGGAGGAUUGGUUUUGCUCAGCUCAGUGCUCAGACUCUUGGUUCCAUCAGCAAACUUUGAAUUUUGACAUCCAAUGAAGUUCACAUCAAUGUCCACUGAAACAGCACACGGCUGCAGAGGCCGGCACCACCGUUAAUCAGUGCAGCACGCAUGACCGAGUCCUUUUUAAUUACACCUGUAGCAAAAAUGGACAAGUCGAGUCUGAGACAAUCAGCAGACUGAGCAUCCGUGCCCAUACUUGAGCAUCAGUCUCAUCCAAAUCUAAAAACGCAUGUUGAGUGAUGCCAGUUUGUGGGGAUAGAGUGAAAUGAUAGAGUGUGAAGAAGCUCUUCAGUGAAAAAGGCGAGAGAUUACCAGCAGAAGACCAUGACUUCUACAGUGGAUUAUCAUCUUUUUCAGAUCUGGUCAUUCAGGUAUGAGUAACCAUGGAAUCUGAGAAAUUCUGGUGUCUCAUGGUGUUGUUUUUGUGCCAGUAACAAUCUUUUUAUUAUUUUAUGCCUUUCUUCCUGGUUUGGUUAAGGCUAGAAAUAUGAAGGUAACUCAUUCAGGAGUCGAAAUUUACCCUUCAGCAUUAUAAAAAAAUGAACGACACCCAGAUGUUUCAUUCAGGCUGUUUAGAUGAUGAAGUGUGUUUGUAGCUGUUUUAUUUUAUUAUUAUUGAUCUAUACCUAAACAUAUAGAGGGAUGUCUUGUUCACCCUAUUCAACUUGGGACUUAUAUUUGCUCAUGCGAAAAACAAAACAAAAAUCUCAUACAGAAAUAGUAUAUUUAUUGCCACAUUUUCCAGCUCCAUUCAGAGGCAAUACUGGGGCGUAAAUCAUUCUGAGUCUCUGCAGUAAAUGUGGGUUUGUACUGUUUUCACAUAUUUUUUUUUUAUCCAGGGUUAAUAUUUAAAUAUUAAUAUUGCACCAGGAAGGAAAGAUGAGAAAUGAAUCUGGUUUAGAGUUUCUCUUUGUUACGGAUGCAGUCAGAGUGAUGAAAGGCUGCAGGAUUUUUAGAGCACUUAGAUAUCGAGACUGCAUGCUUGCACAGAUUCACAGAGUCAAGUUUCUGGCUAAUCAUUAAACGCUCUGUUGUGAAAAACCUGGAUGUUUCUCUUCCUGGAUGUUUUCCUUGCUUCCUGCUCUGACACAUUUCUCCAGAUCACACAUAUUCCUCCUUAGUCUCAUUAUAUUUCAUUAGUCAUCGUUCACAGAUUGCUUGGGAACAUCUGAGGAUCCCCUGGAAGGAGUCACCACGACCCCACCAGGAAAAGCGUAAAGGAAAUUAAUGAAUGAAAGAAUGUUUGUCGUGAAUGUCCUUAUUUUCUCCUAGUCAUGACAUUUCUUUCUUUUCCUGCAUACACACUAGCAAGAGACAAAGUGACAGUUCAUUUUCUACAUGCAUGUGCAACAAGGAGCCGCAAUUUCAGCAACAUUUGAGAUAAGAUUUUCUCAGUCCUUUCCAAAUUAGGUGUGGCAGAGUAAAGAGACAAAUCCAAAUGAUCGGCACAAAUGAUUCCUUGGACCAGUCCUAUGGUGCAUGUGGUCCAACGGUUCUUCAGUUCCCCACUCACAACUUUAGUUCCUACCUGCAAUUAGUUCCUAUUUACUGUUUGAUGCAUAAAUGGAAGAACAACUUAUAACUGUAGUUUCAUCUUAUCCUGUCAUAUACACUCUCAUGUACACAGUAAAUGUGUACAGGGACAUUACGAAGAAAAUUAAAGCUUGGAAGGGAAUAGCAGAGAUCGUUGCUACCUCUGGUGAGUGUACAUAGCUAGUAGAGUUAGCUUGCCCUGCUAAUCUGAAUAUAUAAAUCUGAGCAUGUAACAUGUAAAUUAACCAAUAUUCAGACUGAUUAGUGCAUUGUUUAAUUUGUGUUUAACUAGUUAGCUUUAGAAACUAUGUAUAGUUACUACUGUUUCUCAUCAGAACUAAAUUAAUGCUGGUGACAGGAAUGAGUUUUUGUUUGCCAGCAUGAACAUCAGUCUUUUUCUUCUCCAUUGUCAUUCCAAGACCCUGUUUCUGCUCAAUUCUCAUUGGAUUGGUGAUUCUUCUCCAAUGUUGUUCUGAGGUUCUGCUUCUUCUCCAGCAUCAUUCCGAGACUCUUCUUUUGGGUCGUUCCAAGGUUCUGCUUGUCCUGUGUAAUUUCAAGGUUCUGCUUCUUAUUCAGUGUUAUCCCUAAGUUUUGAUUCUUCUCCUGAGUCAUUCUAAGACUCGCUCUUUUCUCCAGGGUCAGUUGAAGGUUCUGUUUCUUCUCCUAUGUUAGUCUGAGGUCUUUCUUCUUCUCCUGUGUCAUUCCAAAACUUUUCCUGCUGAUCCUAUAGCAAAGUCUCUUAUCUGGUUCUGCUCAUUAUCUCUCACUGGCACUGACCAUGAUCAGAUCUUAGUGUCUUUCUCUGCUCCUGUCACUUAUUCUUUCACUUAUUUGGUCAAUCUCAGCUCUUACUCUUGUGUCAGUUAAGAGUGCCAGCUCCAGCCUCAUUUUCUGAUCUAGAUCUGUCUCCAUUGCUGUCUCUAACCUUGCUCCUAUCAGCAUCUCAGAUCUGGGUCUAGCCAUGGUCCUGUCUCUCAGUCCUCAGUCAUCUGUUUGUUUUAGGUCCUGGAUGCUGACUCAGGCUUAUUCUAGCUCCUUUGUUUAGUGCUGAUAUUUUUGGAUUUUGACCUCACCUGAGUCUCUGCCUGUUCUCUGACUGCUGUCAUAGAAUACGACCAUGAUUCGACAAGCGUCAAGAAAUUUCCACUAAAAUUACAUCCUGAUGUUGUACUCCACUACCACAGAGAAAAUAUUCCGGCUCUUGUGAUAUAAUAUGGUCUUCACUGCAGUCAUUUACAAGCCACUUACUGCUGUUUGAAUGAAUUUGUGUAAUAUGAGUUUUAUGACCUUCUUUUUUCUCUCUUGCUUUUUCUUUGCUUUUUUUAUAGCUUAUGUAAUUAUGCUUUGGGUGAAAGAGUGGAACAAUAUUACAUCAUAUUGCAGCAUCGUUAACAUUUGGUCUAAUAAAGUGAAUUUGAGUGAGAUCAAGUUUUCAGAAGCUCAGCUUGAAAACACCAUCAUUAAUUAAAAUGCCAUCAAGCUCAGAAAUCCAUCAGCAUUAGUGUAUUUUAAUCUUCCCAUUGCUUCCCAGACUGUCUCAUUUUAGAGCAAUACAACUCUAACAGUGAUUAUAAAAUCCCCCAAAGGUCUUGUAUUCAUCUCGUUGACGAUUAAUCGUUUUGUAUUAAAGAUAUUUUUCAUGCUCAUUGUAUAUAAUGUUGGAUAACAACUUAAACGUGGUCAUUAAAUGUAGAGCUCGAACUACAGAUCUACUGAAAAUGAAAUUUGAGAUCUUUGAUUUAUUUCCUGUUUCAUCAUGUGUCAAUUCAUUACAAAUCAAACUCAAUCUCUGAUCACAGGAUGGUUUUAAACUCACACUAUGUCUACAGUUAAAGCUUUGAGCAGCAGUGCUGAAUUCUGGGCUGUGAUUGGUCAGAAGGUGUUGAUUAAUUUUCUAUUAGCAGCUCUGACAGUAGCGCAGGUUUAUAAUAAUGCACUCAUUUUAAUACGCUAUCGUUUCUAUAGUAACAGCUCUUUCAGAGGGACGUCACAUGGAUUAAAAAACGUGUGUGAUCAUUGAUAUGGUGAAGUUUCCUGUAAGGAGAUGUUUAUGUAACAUUUAUGGAAGGAGUCUCCAGUGUCAGCGCUUUGUAACAGUCAGAGGUAAAGCUGUAACUUUAAGAUUUCUGACAUCUUCAGGACAGAGGAGUUUACGCUUCUUUGUGGUAACAUGACAAGCUGUGUUUUUUUCUCUUGUUAACUUCAAGAGAGAGAAUAAAGAGACUGGUGA